AGUGCUGCAUGGCUGUCGUCAGCUCGUGUUGUGAAAUGUUGGGUUAAGUCCCACAACGAGCGCAACCCUUAUCCUUUGUUGCCAGCGGUCCGGCCGGGAACUCAAAGGAGACUGCCAGUGAUAAACUGGAGGAAGGUGGGGAUGACGUCAAGUCAUCAUGGCCCUUACGACCAGGGCUACACACGUGCUACAAUGGCGCAUACAAAGAGAAGCGACCUCGCGAGAGCAAGCGGACCUCAUAAAGUGCGUCGUAGUCCGGAUUGGAGUCUGCAACUCGACUCCAUGAAGUCGGAAUCGCUAGUAAUCGUGGAUCAGAAUGCCACGGUGAAUACGUUCCCGGGCCUU
rnacentral:rRNA from 1 species